UUUUGUUUAAAUUUCAUUCUAUUAUUAAAUAAUAUAAUUGUUUUAAUUGAAAAAAUUUUCAAUUCUUAUUCUUUCUAAUAUAAAAAAGUAACUUCUUAAUAUUCUUUUCAAUAGAAUGGAGUCCCAUGUUUUCUGUUAAAACUUGCAUAUUAAAAAUACCAAAAAGCACUCUGUGAAAGUAAUCUGCUUAUACAGUAGACUCUUGCUAAUCUGGCCUCCAGCUCCAGCCAUGAUGUAAAAAAGAUGGAUUAUACAUUUUUGUGAAGUCAUGAGCAUGGGUUAUUUUUAGAUCGUUUGUUGCUAUCCAGGCAGUUUGUUAUUGUAAUUGCACAUGAAAGGUUUUAAUUUUGAUUUAGAAGCAAGGGACAAAUGGUGUGUAUGAUGUGUAUUGACCUUCAAUUAUGGCUUUAAAAAGAAAACAUAUGUUAGAUCUGGCACAGAAAUUGGAAAUUUUAGAGAAGUUAAAACAAAAUUCAUGGAUAUAAACAACAAAAAUAUCUUCCAUCGAUGGCAUAGUGUAACACUGAUAGAAAUCAUAAACUUCCCUUCUGGUGAUUUUACCAAAUCAACCCUUCUUUGAAGUCAGAUGAUAUACAAACUGUCUUUCUUCCAUCUAAUGUGACAGCCCCGAUUUAAUUUAUGGAUCAGAAAAUUUUGGAAUCAACUAAGUGCUGCUAUCAAAAUGCACUUCUUGCAUUAUUGUUGAAUUGAACAUGAAAGAUUCCACCAAGAGGUUAUUCUAAAGGCAUGGAAAACAAUCAGCAUUCUGCUAUUGGAAGUAUGGAAUAUUGUGCAGAACACAUCAUACAAAAGUGUUGGGAAAAAGUACGGCCUUUUGAUUAACACUGAGUUGGAUUCUGAUUAAGUGACAAUGAUAAAUCAGUAAAUUCAGAAACAUCAAUUUCAGAUGCUAUGAUUGUUGAAAUGUUCCACAAGAUUCCAGAAGUUGAUGAAGAUGACAUAACUAAAUGGCUGAAUGAGGAAAAUUGUGGAAUAGACCAGGUUUUGACAGAUGAAGAAAUCAUCAGAAGUAUGCAGGAAGAAAAAGUUGAAAGUGAUGAGGAAGAGGGCAAAGAGCAUGAAGAUUUCUUACAAUCCUGGUGCCAAAGCUGCUGACAUCUUCCAACAGUCUACAAUUUAACAAUUAGAUAUACAAUACUGGCAUAAUGCUAAUAAAGCAAUUUGCAUAAUAAAGCAUGCCAUAGAUGACAUCUUCAUUUAAAGCAGACAAAAAUCCAUGGAAAUGUUUUGAAUUGAUAGCAUUGAAUAGAAAGAUUCGUAAUUUCAUCUAUGUUGAAUUACAACUGUGUGUUUCUUUUACUGCAUGUAG
rnacentral:lncRNA from 1 species